CGUUGAUUACGAUGUGAGGUCGCCUGUUGCUCAAGAGUGAUCUAGAGUUCUAACAGGGAAUUAACUGGACUAAGGUAGCAUAAUAAGUUGCUUUAUAAUUAAAAGCUUGAAUGAAAGAAAUAAUGUGAAACAAGCUUUUUAAACUAAAGUAGUAAAAAUUAAUAUUUAAGUGAAAAAUCUUAAAUAAAAUCAAAAGACAAGAAGACCCUUUAGAACUUUACAAAUUAACUUAAUUUCAUUUGGUUAAUUUUGUUAGAUUGGGGAGAUUUUUAAAUAAAUAAAUCUUUAGAUAUAAAAAAAUGAUUUAAAUCAAAUUAAAUUAUCCAAAUAUGAAAUAAAACAAGUUACCUAAGGGAUAACAGCGCAAAAUUUUUGAGAAGUUCUCAUUUACAAAAUAAAUUGCGACCUCGAUGUUGGAUUAAGAACAACUUAUAAAGAAAAAUUUAUAAGAGUUGGUCUGUUCGCCCAAAUAAAUCUUACAUGAUCUGAGUUCAAACCGGC
rnacentral:rRNA from 1 species